UUUCGCGCUGUCGUAGGUGAACGUCUGUGUGUGUUGUGCUUCUUGUUUCAUGCUAAUUACCACAUGGAGGUGGAACCCCUGUAGCUGACCAGAAAGGCCAGGACUGUCAGAUGCCAUACAUGAAUUGGUUCAAGGUCUUCAAACAGAGCUGACCCAGCAGAAGGCCUCUGGUGGCAUACUGUAAUCAAGUGUGCCACUCCCACGGGAUUAUUGCAUUGGCCUUUUGCAUUCAUGCCUGAAUGCUGUCCAGGGCAUCUCACAGGCACCAGCUGCGUGACGAUGCCCCACCCCACGGAUUGUCUUAUGCCAACAGCGUGCUCCUAUAGGGAGCUAUGGACACUAGAAGAUGGACUGUGGACAUGCUAAGGAAUUCUUCAGUAGCUUCAUGGUGCACGGGAGAAGAAACAGCAGACCUGGACGAAGUAA